GGUGGUGCAUGGUUGUCGUCAGCUCGUGUCGUGAGAUGUUGGGUUAAGUCCCGCAACGAGCGCAACCCUUGAUCUUAGUUGCCAGCAUUUAGUUGGGCACUCUAAGGUGACUGCCGGUGACAAACCGGAGGAAGGUGGGGAUGACGUCAAAUCAUCAUGCCCCUUAUGACCUGGGCUACACACGUGCUACAAUGGAUGGUACAAAGGGCUGCAAGACCGCGAGGUCAAGCCAAUCCCAUAAAACCAUUCUCAGUUCGGAUUGUAGGCUGCAACUCGCCUACAUGAAGCUGGAAUCGCUAGUAAUCGCGGAUCAGCAUGCCGCGGUGAAUACGUUCCCGGGCCUUGUACACACCGCCCGUCAC
rnacentral:rRNA from 2 species